rnacentral:lncRNA from 1 species
UUCAAAAGAGAAGGGAACUAUCUCCAAGAAGCAGCCCCCCCCCCAUUUCUUUAGUCCGCCUCUUCACCUCCCCCAUGACCCUUGGGGCUGGGUGGGGGGCAGAGCUCCUCCGUUUGGGUUGGUGACAGAUUGCACAACGGCCCUUUCCUCCUUCCAACCCCCCUUCCUUCAUCUCACACUUUUUUUUUAAACUUUUUAACCAUAUGGCGUUGUCCUCUAUUUCUCAGGGAGAACACCGAAAACAAUAACUCCUCCUCCAACAAGCAGAAUCAACUCUCUCCUCUGGAAGGGGGCAAGCCGCUCAUGUCCAGCUCAGAAGAGGAAUUCUCACCUCCCCAAAGUCCAGACCAGAACUCGGUCCUCCUGCUCCAGAGCAAUAUGGGCCAUGCCAGGAGCUCAAACUAUUCUCUU